rnacentral:rRNA from 1 species
UACGUAGGGCGCAAGCGUUAUCCGGAAUUAUUGGGCGUAAAGAGCUCGUAGGCGGUGUGUCGCGUCGGCCGUGAAAACCUGCAGCUUAACUGUGGGCUUGCGGUCGAUACGGGCAUCACUGGAGUUCGGCAGGGGAGACUAGAAUUCCUGGUGUAGCGGUGAAAUGCGCAGAUAUCAGGAGGAACACCGGUGGCGAAGGCGGGUCUCUGGGCCGAUACCACGUGAGGAGCGAAAGCGUGGGGGAGCGAACGG